UCCAGCUUAUCACUGGCGGUCCCUCUAGAGAUCCACUUGCGUGGCAACUAAAGGCGAGGAUUGCGCUCGUUGCGGGACUUAACCCAACAUCUCACGACACGAGCUGACGACAGCCAUGCAGCACCUGUGUUCCCGCCAGCCGAACUGAAGGACUCCAUCUCUGGAAUCCAAACGGGACAUGUCAAGGGCCGGUAAGGUUCUGCGCGUUGCUUCGAAUUGAACCACAUGCUCCACCGCUUGUGCGGGCCCCCGUCAAUUCCUUUGGGUUUUAAUCUUGCGACCGUACUCCCCAGGCGGGAUGCUUAAUGCGUUAGCUGCGCCACUGAAGGGUAAACCCACCAACGGCUAGCAUCCAUCGUUUACGGCGUGGACUAC
rnacentral:misc_RNA from 1 species